GAUUCGCUUUCCUUGGCUGAAACUUCUAGCCUUUCCUGCAUUGACGCCUCCGCCUGAUUCCCUUUUUACUCCUAAUUUUGUUCGCUUCCUUCCUCCAUACACGGAUAUUACUAUUACCCACUUACCAAUUGCUUUUUUCCACGCUUUUUCUUUCUGGAUCUUGAUCUUUUCUCAAUGUGGAAUCUCUAGAUUUUGCCUCUUGUUGCUUUGUUGUUCCUUGCAUCGGCGGCGAGAGAAUAAGCUGAAGUUACA
rnacentral:misc_RNA from 1 species